rnacentral:rRNA from 1 species
UAACGCGAAGAACCUUACCAGGUCUUGACAUACUAUGCAAAUCUAAGAGAUUAGACGUUCCCUUCGGGGACAUGGAUACAGGUGGUGCAUGGUUGUCGUCAGCUCGUGUCGUGAGAUGUUGGGUUAAGUCCCGCAACGAGCGCAACCCUUAUUGUCAGUUGCCAGCAUUAAGUUGGGCACUCUGGCAAGACUGCCGGUGACAAACCGGAGGAAGGUGGGGAUGACGUCAAAUCAUCAUGCCCCUUAUGACCUGGGCUACACACGUGCUACAAUGGACGAUACAACGAGUCGCUAGACCGCGAGGUUAAGCUAAUCUCUGAAAGUCGUUCUCAGUUCGGAUUGCAGGCUGCAACUCGCCUACAUGAAGUCGGAAUCGCUAGUAAUCGCGGAUCAGC